GCUUGUCUCAAAGAUUAAGCCAUGCAUGUCUAAGUAUAAGCAAUUAUACCGCGAAACUGCGAAUGGCUCAUUAUAUAAGUUAUCGUUUAUUUGAUAGUACCUUACUACUUGGAUAACCGUGGUAAUUCUAGAGCUAAUACAUGCUAAAAACCCCGACUUACGGAGGGGUGUAUUUAUUAGAUUAAAAACCAAUGCCCUCCGGGGCUCACUGGUGAUUCAUGAUAACUUCGCGAAUCGCACGGCCUUGCGCCGGCGAUGGUUCAUUCAAAUUUCUUCCCUAUCAACUUUCGAUGUUUGGGUCUUGGCCAAACAUGGUUGCAACGGGUAACGGAGGGUUAGGGCUCGACCCCGGAGAAGGAGCCUGAGAAACGGCUACUACAUCCAAGGAAGGCAGCAGGCGCGCAAAUUACCCAAUCCCGAUUCGGGGAGGUAGUGACAAUAAAUACUGAUACAGGGCUCUUUCGGGUCUUGUAAUUGGAAUGAGUACAAUUUAAAUCCCUUAACGAGGAACAAUUGGAGGGCAAGUCUGGUGCCAGCAGCCGCGGUAAUUCCAGCUCCAAUAGCGUAUAUUAAAGUUGUUGUGGUUAAAAAGCUCGUAGUUGAACCUUGGGUCUGGCUGGCCGGUCCGCCUCACCGCGUGCACUGGUCCGGCCGGACCUUUCCCUCUGUGGAACCCCAUGCCCUUCACUGGGUGUGGCGGGGAAACAGGACUUUUACUUUGAAAAAAUUAGAGUGCUCCAGGCAGGCCUAUGCUCGAAUACAUUAGCAUGGAAUAAUAGAAUAGGACGUGUGGUUCUAUUUUGUUGGUUUCUAGGACCGCCGUAAUGAUUAAUAGGGACAGUCGGGGGCAUCAGUAUUCAAUUGUCAGAGGUGAAAUUCUUGGAUUUAUUGAAGACUAACUACUGCGAAAGCAUUUGCCAAGGAUGUUUUCAUUAAUCAGGAACGAAAGUUAGGGGAUCGAAGACGAUCAGAUACCGUCGUAGUCUUAACCAUAAACUAUGCCGACUAGGGAUCGGACGAUGUUAUUUUUUGACUCGUUCGGCACCUUACG
rnacentral:rRNA from 1 species